UCUUUAGAAUAAGGUGAAUAACGUCAUAAAUUCAUAUUCAUAAGUCAACGUGUAAUACAUACGUAAAUGCAAAUGCCUCUUUGACCGUGUCCGAAAAAUAAUCACAUAUUUGCUGAAAAUAUUAGUAGAUACAUCAUCCUGAAUGCCGGUAUAAAUUGUGGCGUACUUGGACACCAAAGCUCAGUCGGUUUAACAUCGGAGAAGAAUACACAGCGACGAUAAAUAAGAGCCUCCCUAAAUAUCUCACUCUGUAACACUGUUCAAUUAAUUAUGAAUCGACAAAUUCUGCUGUUGAUCUUUCUCGUAUUCACCUUCGACCUCGUGUUCUGCCAAUUUGGAUUCGGCGGAUUUGGGGGACCAGGUCUUGGCUUCGGAGGUUUUGGCGGUCCUUUUGGCCCCCCGCCCCCGCCGCCCCCGCCACCACCGCCAAGUCCAUACUGUUCGCCGUUUUACCGGUCGUUUGGAUAUGUCUACAGAUAUUGUUGAAAAAAGAUCGUGAAAUGAGGAAUAAUGUGUGAAAAAAUCGAUAUGCAAACAUUACACGUUGUCACGUACA